GUUAGGGGUGCUCGGGUUUCCGGGCUGAGAACAGACCCUUACGAACCUGAUCCGGAUAAUGCCGGCGAAGGGAAACGGG
rnacentral:ncRNA from 1 species